rnacentral:rRNA from 1 species
CAAUAGCGUAUAUUAAAGUUGUUGCAGUUAAAAAGCUCGUAGUUGAAUUUCUGUCAGGAGUGACCGGGCCUUUGGAUGAACUUCCAUUGUUUUUUGCUCUGUUUGUCAUCUCUAGACAUCCUGGAAUAUUUUUUUUUUAAAUGUUCCUCUUUUACUGUUAGCAAAAUAGAGUGUUCCAAGCAAAGCGUAGUUUUGAAUACAUUAGAAUGGAAUAAUAAGAUAGGACUUUGGUGCUAUUUUGUUGGUUUGCACACCAAGGUAAUGAUUAAUAGGGACAGUUGGGGGUAUUCGUAUUUAAUUGUCAGAGGUGAAAUUCUUGGAUUUAUGAAAGACGAACUACUGCGAAAGCAUUUACCAAGGAUGUUUUCAUUAA